rnacentral:rRNA from 1 species
GGGGAAUAUUGCGCAAUGGGGGAAACCCUGACGCAGCAAUACCGCGUGAGUGAAGAAGGUUUUCGGAUCGUAAAGCUCUGUUAUUGGGGAAGAAAAAAAGACGGUACCCAAGAAGAAAGUCCCGGCUAACUACGUGCCAGCAGCCGCGGUAAUACGUAGGGGACAAGCGUUGUCCGGAUUUACUGGGCGUAAAGAGCUCGUAGGCGGUUAGUCGCGUCUGCUGUGAAAACUCGAGGCUCAACCUCGGGCUUGCAGUGGGUACGGGCUGACUAGAGUGCGGUAGGGGUGACUGGAAUUCCUGGUGUAGCGGUGGAAUGCGCAGAUAUCAGGAGGAACACCGAUGGCGAAGGCAGGUCACUGGGCCGCAACUGACGCCGAGGAGCGAAAGCAUGGGGAGCGAACA